UUGAACACGAAUGAGCAUGUAUGUAUUCGCACGAAGAGAUAUCCCAGCGUUAUAGCACACUUACACGAUUGUUAAGAAGCAUAAAAAAUGUACACUCAUAAUCAGUGAUGCCAGAUACCAGACGAAAACUGCAUGUAACAUUGUAAUAAGUUGUUGAGAAAAUAGAUUGCAUUCAUUUAUAUAAAUCUAUUUGAUUUUUGUUCCUGCACUGAACGAUAAGUUUAAGACAGGUAAUUAUUACGAAAUGAUAAAAUUAAUCAUUAUAGACAUGUAUUCGGUACUAAAUUGAUGUAUGUCCGUUAUCGCGCAAACUGGUUCGGAUCGUCAUGUUCACAACAAGAAACGUAGUUUGAUUCAAACACGUUUACAGAAAUGUAAUAUUGUUGGAUGACAUACAUACAACAGCAUAUAACUGCAAUAUGUCAGAGGCUAAAGAUUGGAAGAAAUGGAAAAGGAUAGAGAUUAACUACCGAACGAGACAUGGAAGUACGAAACAGAAGAGGUUGAAAGAUGAAUAUAAAAGAUUUACCUAUA